rnacentral:lncRNA from 1 species
GGCAAUUUUUCCUGAAAAUGCCUUUAGCAUCUGCACUUUACUCUCGAGUUUUUAGCGGAAUCUGUUUCGUUUUUUGCGACGUUUCUGUCCAGAAGGGAGACAGCUCAACAAGUUCCUUUCAGCGGCUAGCCGCGUUUCUUCUGGGUCCUCUUUGAGAAAAGUAGUCGCCUGUCUCCGGCUUUUCAGCUCCCGAUUUACUGCUUAUCCCAGCCUCGCUAUCUUCCUCGAUUGCCUUGUCAAGCCUUCUUUUCAGCUGCAUUAGUUCGCCGUGCUACUCGCGAAACGCUGCGUCGUUUUCGUUAGGGUCUUGAGCAAGUCUUGCAGAGACUGAGGAACCUCGAGAGUCCGGUGUUGGGGCUUUCAGUGCGUCGAUGUCUCGAGUCUCACCGCCUUCGCGUCGGAGAGCAUUCGUCUCGCAUUUUCGUUUUCUCGUCGUGACUGUAACUUAGCACAUUUUUCGCCUCAAAUCCCCGCUGUGCCUCCGACGAGCUUCACAGUGUGGCGGGUUUAUGUGUACAAGCGAGACCUCUUCCAGCUGCCGAGACAUCUCAGGCCUCCCCUUUUCUCGGACCCGGAGUGUCCUGUGUGCUCUGGCCGUGGUUGAGUAGGUCGAGGAAUCAGUAGGACUUUUCUGCGAGUCUCCUCGUUCUCCUCAUUCGUUUUCUACGUUCCUCAUCCCUCUCCGUCUGCACCAUGAGAUUCCUUUCCCUCUCUGGGGUCGAUGAGCUUGUGUCUCUUCAUAGUGUUCGCUUCUUUUCAGGAGCUGUGGAUCUCUGCCGGAGAGUGGGGUGGACGACUGAGAACGCCCAGACUCUUUAAGUCUCGCCAGACUCCUCGUCUUCACCCUUCCCUUUUUCCCUGAAGUGGACUCCGAUUCGAGAUGCAGAGUUCGACCUCUCCCUUCCGGGGAGAACAUGAGUGUUUCCGAUAUUUCUGCUCCUUCUCCACUCUCCAAUCCGCCACCGAGUCUGACGUCUGAGCUCCCGUGACUCUGGCGUUCGUCCUGCCCGCUCUGCACUUGGAGGUCGCCGGCUGUGAGAGGAAUCUUUGCGCAAGAAGAUCUCGAGGCGAGUCCACCGGUCCGGCGUCCG